rnacentral:lncRNA from 1 species
CCAUGUUGCAGGCAAUCCAUAGUCUUGGUUCUCAAAUUCUGGGAUUUUUAUUCAUAACAUAAUCAAUGGGCAAACUCCAAAUAAAACUUCCUUUUAGUCUUCCUCCUCCGUCUCUACCUCCGCUGCCCUCAUUACGCGUUGACCCUCCUGCUCCGACGUCCUCGUCCUAUAUCCUCUUCCCGCUCAUGCAAAUCCAGCAUCUCCCAUUGAUCGCAACAGGAGUGAAUUAUCUUCCUUUCCUUCCGCUUCUCUUUCUCUGCUUAGCUUUUAGGUUUUUGUAAAUUUGUAAUUUGUUGAUUAUGUUUUGUGCCCAAGAUUCAUGAUUUUGGUGAUUUAUAGUUGCAGUAGAGCUCCGGUGCCGGGUUGAAAUAAGAUGUGAUAUUGGCCUGUUGUUUCUUGAAUUGUUGCUGAUUGUUUCAAUUUUAGCAUCCUUUGAAGUCGGAAACUUGAAAUCUUAUUACGGGUUAUAGAGUUGUUUUGUCCGUGUAAUUUUUAUUCUUUUCCUAGAAUGUCUAUAUGGUCAUAUUUGUUUUUGGUUAGAUUGAGCUUGUAUAUUUGGUAUGUCUAUAAUUUAUUGGAUUUGGUUAGUUGAAGAAUUAGUUCGGGAUGAACUUAGUGCACUUGGUUGUAGACGGUUGAAAUUUACAGUCACGUUGUAAAGUGCUGUAUUCAUGAAUAUUCUAGACUUGAUACUUGAUAGGGUGCCUAUCCUGCCAUGCUCUUAUGAUUGAGCUAGACAUGAUACGGAAAAUGUCCAGCCUCCACGAAUGUGAUCAUUUGCAUAGGGUUGAAUGCUUGUGUGUAAACUAGGCAUCACUAUUUAUAAACGUGUUGAACAACCCAUGUUUAGGAAUGGUGUACCCAUUUGAUGUAGCACAAUCUCUGCUUGGUGAGACAUGUGGUUGAUGGUGGGAUAUGGGAUGCCCCCAUGUGUCUAUUCCGUUUCACAGAGAUUUUCAUGGGGAUGGAGACUUUUGUGCCCAUUACAUUGACUUGCUUAUGAAAUUAUUUUGAGUUAUAUUUUGUGUGAUAGACAUAUGAUCCUGGUUAAGGUAUAAGGAUCAUGUGUGUUAAGGCACAAGGAUCAUGUGUGCUGCAAUGGGGUUGUAGCAUCUUGGCCAAUUGGCUUUGUUUUGUUGGCUUAUCAGAUACAAAUAGGCAGUGUCCUGUCACAUAGCUCUUUAGCCUUCCUUGACUGAGACUUGUUGAUUGAUCUCAUCCACUUGAAAAUUCAUGUAGAAGUUGCCAAUUCUACUUUGUAAAGAGUUGCCUCGGCCCCAUUGCUCUUAUUGCAUCAAACUAGAUAGCCCCGCGAUCCUACCUUCAGUUUUCUUCUUUCAAUUUGUAUGAGAAAGUUAUUGGAUCAGUUUGCUGGUCAGUCACCCUAUCUUGCGUAUUUUCCUCUUCAUUUUUUGUAUAGGGUUGAUGGAUGAUAUCUAAUUUAUCCUCUGAGGUGGUUCAUUCUGCUUGAGAGCUGGCAAGUAGUAUGCUAGGAAUAAAAAGUUUAACUGCUUAUAAGUUGUAGGCCCUAUAGAAUGUGGGUACUAAGUAGUUAAGUUGUGGGUUCUUUGUUUUACCAGCUUAAAAAAAAAUCAAGCUUUGCCAAACUUGCACUUAAAGAAGCAAAUUGAUCUGUUAUGACAUUUUUGGGGCUUGAUGUUAAAUAGUCUGGAGAUAUUCUGCUGUGAUAAGAAGUGGUCUGGAAACAUAAAAUACUGGAAUAUUAGAGAAAUGAGAUAUCAUUUAUGGAGAACCAGGAGACUGUUGCUUUUAUAGAAUUAUUCAAACGGAUAGGAACAGAAUAAUGAGUUCUUUGGUCAAACAACUAGAAUGGAACGAAGUAUAUUUGUGUUUGUAUUGCAAAGAGAAUUAAUUCUGUCUUAAGAAACUACGUGCUAUAUAUUGUUGAACACAUGACUUUUUCCUUGCUUCUUUUGAAGUGAUUAGUAUUAUUAGCAAGGGGAUGAAAUAUAUUGUGUUACUGUAAAGAGAAUUAAAUGUGACUUAAUUGAGACUACAUGCUAUAUCUUGUUACGUGUUUGAACUUUUCCUUGCUUCUUUUGCAGUGAUUGGUAUCAUUAGAAGGAAGGUAUUGAUUAAAGACUUGGCUGCUGCAUACCAUGUUGAGUGCCUCACGUAUUGUCAGGAACUUUUGGAACUUCAAAGUAAAGUUGACGAGGUAAAAAUUUUCAUGCCACAUAUUUUCUUUGUUUUCUCUAAUCACGCUUUUCUUUAGGGUUGGGCAAAUCUCCCGGACCAAUUCGACCGUACCGAACCCGACGGUUCUUGUCAAAUUAAAUACCCGAACGGGUAUCUGAAUUGAGAACCGACGGGUACGGUUCAGUUCUCGGUUCUAAACCAAGAACCGAAAAAUCGAAUAAGAACCAAAUCUUUCUAAUUUUUUUUUUAUAUUGAGUAAAUCAAAUUAUUUUAAUUUUAAUUUUUUCUAAAUAAAUUAACAAUUUCUAAAUUCAAAUUUUUGGCCCAAUAAUUUGUUUCAUUUCUAAUUUUUUAAUUUUUGGCCCAAUUACCCAUUUUAUUGUUUCAUAUCUUAGCCCAACAAGAUCCAAUCCACUAAAUAACUCUAAACACCUACACUAAAGUGUAUAAUGUUGUCUCGACUCUCGCAGCCUUGCUAAUAUUCCAAAACUUAUAUAAUCGUCGGCCGAUACUGUGAUUUCCGAUUGAAGCUAUGAUCUCUGCCGACCGAAACUUUGAUCGUAGCGAUCAUUUGAACAAGGUAAUCUAUUAGUCUCUGACAUUCAAAAACCAUUGAAUGUAUCAUUAGUUGUAUUUAUAUAAUAUUGUUAUAAAUAUUAAAAAAUUUAAUUAUAGCACGAACGGAACCGAACCGAACCGAACUGAUCGGAACCGUACCCGAACGAUUCCAUAAUUAUAUUUGGACCCGACGGUUCCAUUUACUAGAUAUCCAAAAAUUUUGGUUCGGACCGAACCGAAUCGACCCGCACCCACCCCUACUUUUCUUAUUGAUUCUUAACAUAACUGAAAAUUGUGAUUUAUUUGGAUGGUUUAUUUACUAUAUUGAUACUUGGCACUAUUAUUCAUCUGUAAUUCAUUUGCUCAAAAUGUAUUGCUCCUUAAAUUACAUCAUGAUUGAAUUUGAUCGACGCAAUUAAGAACUAGAAUAUUCAGGAAGUAUCCCAAUAAGGUACACUAGAAGAUAAAGUCACUUCACAAAAUGAGGUUGAGAUUCUAGAAGCAUACUACUGUUUCAUUGUCCGAUGCAGUAGGUGUUAAUAGAUAGCCCAUUAUAUGUUUAUUAAAAUCCUACACGUCAGGUGUCUAGUGUGAUUCUUGAAAUGCACCGACUCCUAAAUGGAGAGUAUAAGAUACUGGUUGACUAUCAAUCUUAUAGUGACAUAAUGGAGAAGUACCGGACUUGAAAUGGUUGGAAGCCAUGUCAUGAAAUAGGUAUUGUUAAUUAAUUUAGGCAGUCAAGUAUUUGGCCUUCUUAUACAUGACAUAAAUUUUCUUCUCAGAAUUUUUGUUGUAUCCCUGAAUUUUCUCUCCUUUUUGGCUUCAUAUUACUGGCAGGAUUGAGUUCCUAAUAAUUAGUAUUCAUUUUUGUUAGGUGUGGAACUUUUUCUUAGGGUAAAGUACAAGGUUAAAAGUUACUUUUAAGUAUCUUAUUUUGGAGCAUAUACGAGUCUUUUACAAAUUCCCUCUUUUGGGGGAGGAUUUUCCAUACAAAAGCUUACCUUUGUUGUCGAAAAUUCGACUAACGCAAUCAAAAGAAGAAAUAAAAUAAGCAGAAAAAUAGACAGUAAAUGAAGCGAGGUAUGCCAAUAAAGUAGGCAAAUCUCCUUAAGACAGAUUUCGCCCCCCAAAUGAAGUGCAAACGGGAUUAUGGACGUCUGUCUCCCAAAAUACAACGCUCCUUUCAAAGUCGAUACUGCACAAUACCAACCUUGUCGGUCGAACCAAUGAAUGAUCGUACUUGAACGGAAUAACGACGGAAGUAUAAGAGAUUUUUUACGAGCAGAAUAUGGAGAUAGAAGAAUUUAGAAAUCAAUUGAAUUCGUAAUUGAUUUGGUGUGUCAAAAAACGAAUCUGGGGGUUCCUAUUUAUAGAGAUUGAAGUGUCUCAUGAAAUAGGUGUGUGACAUUUCAGGAACUGGUGCACCACUUGGUCUGAUUCGUCUUAGCCAUUGGAUCGCACUAUUUUUAUGAUCUGACGGCCCAGAUUGAACCAUGAAGUGAAGUGUCCAUUCAUCAUGUCUAUUCACCAAUUUCUGAACAGUCACAGUCAUACGUAUGCCACGCGUACAUCUAACCGCCAUGCAGAACGAAGGGACGCGACCUACCACUCGUGCGAAGUGCCAAGUGCGCCUCUAAAGCGCCCAAUGCGUACUUUGCGACGUGCGCGUGUCGGGACCGGGUCCGGGGAACGGUGCUAGUGGUGCUAGUGGUGCGAAGCACCACUCUAGUGGUGACUAGCCUUUGGCUAGCUAAAGUUAGCCAAGUGGUAGGUAACAUAUUAAAUUAUAUAUUAUUUACACAACCCACUAUAUAAACAAGACUAUUUUCUUGUAAACUUUCGAUGUGGGAUUCCUUUCCAUAUAAAAACCACUUAAAAUGGACUUAUCAACAUAUGGGCCUAUAUUGGAGACUUUUCCAAUUCACUCAAAUUAAUUACAAUGGUCCAUAUCAUUAAAUAUUACAUUUAAUAUUUUAAACCCAAAUCAAACCCAAAUCAAAUUCAAUUAAUUCCAACAACCUUUUCUUAAGCUUAGGCAGACAUGCUCAAAAAUCUGAUAUUGUCUUUGAGGCCACCCAAAUGCCUUAAAAAGUCCCGUUACGUAUCAAUUUCAACCUAAAAUUUGGACAUUGAUUGUCCACACACACAAGCACCACGCUUCCAUGCAAAUUACUAUUCUUAACAAUUUUGUUCAUGAAACUUACUCUAUCUACUCGCCGUUUAGAGGAGAGUUACAUUAUUAACAAUUCUAUACUUGGGCCGUUGCAGGGUGUGGGAUGUGGCCAGCUUACGAAAAUUUGUCUCACCUUUCGGUAGAAUGAAUUGUGUACUUUGUAGUUUACGUGUACACUAUAGUUCAUACAAUGUGUACAAUAAUUUGACGCCAUAUAGAGCUAGCCAUCUAUGAUUUGUUCAUUGAACAUGUCUACUAAAUCAUUCGGACAGUCAAAUAAUAAUGUUUCGUACUCCUAAUUUAGUAUGUGUAGCUUCUGAAAGUGAACCAGUGUUGAUUGUUUGUAUUCUACUGCCACAUUUGUGCUCUCGCAAUUACCAAAUGUAGUAUGAAUCCAUUCGCAAUUGUCAUUACAGAUGCACGAAUCAAUACAAAGCAUUGUAAAUUACAGCAGGAUGAGUUUGAGUCUAGUAUGUUAGACUGAACAAAACUAACUAGAGUACAAAUAACCAUUUUAAACCAUAUAUUUGAAUCUUAUCUAAUUUUAUCUAUGUCAAACUAUGAAGGUAUAGGGGGG